rnacentral:tRNA from 1 species
UUAGUUAAAGCCAAAAUAAGAGGCUUACUACUGUUAAUAGUAAAAUUGAAUUAAUUUCUAACUAAA